rnacentral:rRNA from 1 species
AUUGAACGCUGGCGGCAUGCCUUACACAUGCAAGUCGAACGGCAGCACGGGUGCUUGCACCUGGUGGCGAGUGGCGAACGCGUGAGUAAUACAUCGGAACAUGUCCUGUAGUGGGGGAUAGCCCGGCGAAAGCCGGAUUAAUACCGCAUACGAUCUACGGAUGAAAGCGGGGGACCUUCGGGCCUCGCGCUAUAGGGUUGGCCGAUGGCUGAUUAGCUAGUUGUUGGGGUAAAGGCCUACCAAGGCGACGAUCAGUAGCUGGUCUGAGAGGACGACCAGCCACACUGGGACUGAGACACGGCCCAGACUCCUACGGGAGGCAGCAGUGGGGAAUUUUGGACAAUGGGCGAAAGCCUGAUCCAGCAAUGCCGCGUGUGUGAAGAAGGCCUUCGGGUUGUAAAGCACUUUUGUCCGGAAAGAAAUACUUGGCCCUAAUACGGUCGGGGGAUGACGGUACCGGAAGAAUAAGCACCGGCUAACUACGUG